AGGGUGUUUAGUAAUACAGAAACAUUAUGUUGUGAAUAUAAGUAUUAUUGUGAGACCUGCUGUAGUAAGCAAGAAGCACAAAAAAGGAUGCAGAUUAAGAAAUUACCACAGAUUUUAGCACUGCAUUUGAAGAGG